GAUGAACGCUGGCGGCGUGCCUAAUACAUGCAAGUCGAGCGAACAGAUAAGGAGCUUGCUCCUUUGACGUUAGCGGCGGACGGGUGAGUAACACGUGGGUAACCUACCUAUAAGACUGGAAUAACUCCGGGAAACCGGGGCUAAUGCCGGAUAACAUGUUGAACCGCAUGGUUCUACAGAGAAAGGCGGCUUUGCUGUCACUUAUAGAUGGACCCGCGCCGUAUUAGCUAGUUGGUGAGGUAACGGCUCACCAAGGCAACGAUACGUAGCCGACCUGAGAGGGUGAUCGGCCACACUGGAACUGAGACACGGUCCAGACUCCUACGGGAGGCAGCAGUAGGGAAUCUUCCGCAAUGGGCGAAAGCCUGACGGAGCAACGCCGCGUGAGUGAUGAAGGUCUUCGGAUCGUAAAACUCUGUUAUUAGGGAAGAACAAAUGCGUAAGUAACUGUGCGCGUCUUGACGGUACCUAAUCAGAAAGCCACGGCUAACUACGUG
rnacentral:rRNA from 1 species